UUAAGCGACUAAGCGUACACGGUGGAUGCCCUGGCAGUCAGAGGCGAUGAAGGACGUGCUAAUCUGCGAUAAGCGUCGGUGAGGUGAUAUGAACCGUUAUAACCGGCGAUUUCCGAAUGGGGAAACCCAGUGUGUUUCGACACACUAUCAUUAACUGAAUCCAUAAGUUAAUGAGGCGAACCGGGGGAACUGAAACAUCUAAGUACCCCGAGGAAAAGAAAUCAACCGAGAUUCCCCCAGUAGCGGCGAGCGAACGGGGAGGAGCCCAGAGCCUGAAUCAGUGUGUGUGUUAGUGGAAGCGUCUGGAAAGGCGCGCGAUACAGGGUGACAGCCCCGUACACAAAAAUGCACAUGCUGUGAGCUCGAUGAGUAGGGCGGGACACGUGGUAUCCUGUCUGAAUAUGGGGGGACCAUCCUCCAAGGCUAAAUACUCCUGACUGACCGAUAGUGAACCAGUACCGUGAGGGAAAGGCGAAAAGAACCCCGGCGAGGGGAGUGAAAAAGAACCUGAAACCGUGUACGUACAAGCAGUGGGAGCCUCUUAAUGGGGUGACUGCGUACCUUUUGUAUAAUGGGUCAGCGACUUAUAUUCUGUAGCAAGGUUAACCGAAUAGGGGAGCCGAAGGGAAACCGAGUCUUAACUGGGCGUUAAGUUGCAGGGUAUAGACCCGAAACCCGGUGAUCUAGCCAUGGGCAGGUUGAAGGUUGGGUAACACUAACUGGAGGACCGAACCGACUAAUGUUGAAAAAUUAGCGGAUGACUUGUGGCUGGGGGUGAAAGGCCAAUCAAACCGGGAGAUAGCUGGUUCUCCCCGAAAGCUAUUUAGGUAGCGCCUCGUGAAUUCAUCUCCGGGGGUAGAGCACUGUUUCGGCAAGGGGGUCAUCCCGACUUACCAACCCGAUGCAAACUGCGAAUACCGGAGAAUGUUAUCACGGGAGACACACGGCGGGUGCUAACGUCCGUCGUGAAGAGGGAAACAACCCAGACCGCCAGCUAAGGUCCCAAAGUCAUGGUUAAGUGGGAAACGAUGUGGGAAGGCCCAGACAGCCAGGAUGUUGGCUUAGAAGCAGCCAUCAUUUAAAGAAAGCGUAAUAGCUCACUGGUCGAGUCGGCCUGCGCGGAAGAUGUAACGGGGCUAAACCAUGCACCGAAGCUGCGGCAGCGACACUAUGUGUUGUUGGGUAGGGGAGCGUUCUGUAAGCCUGUGAAGGUGGCCUGUGAGGGUUGCUGGAGGUAUCAGAAGUGCGAAUGCUGACAUAAGUAACGAUAAAGCGGGUGAAAAGCCCGCUCGCCGGAAGACCAAGGGUUCCUGUCCAACGUUAAUCGGGGCAGGGUGAGUCGACCCCUAAGGCGAGGCCGAAAGGCGUAGUCGAUGGGAAACAGGUUAAUAUUCCUGUACUUGGUGUUACUGCGAAGGGGGACGGAGAAGGCUAUGUUGGCCGGGCGACGGUUGUCCCGGUUUAAGCGUGUAGGCUGGUUUUCCAGGCAAAUCCGGAAAACCAAGGCUGAGGCGUGAUGACGAGGCACUACGGUGCUGAAGCGACAAAUGCCCUGCUUCCAGGAAAAGCCUCUAAGCAUCAGGUAACAUCAAAUCGUACCCCAAACCGACACAGGUGGUCAGGUAGAGAAUACCAAGGCGCUUGAGAGAACUCGGGUGAAGGAACUAGGCAAAAUGGUGCCGUAACUUCGGGAGAAGGCACGCUGAUAUGUAGGUGAAGCGACUUGCUCGUGGAGCUGAAAUCAGUCGAAGAUACCAGCUGGCUGCAACUGUUUAUUAAAAACACAGCACUGUGCAAACACGAAAGUGGACGUAUACGGUGUGACGCCUGCCCGGUGCCGGAAGGUUAAUUGAUGGGGUUAGCGGCAACGCGAAGCUCUUGAUCGAAGCCCCGGUAAACGGCGGCCGUAACUAUAACGGUCCUAAGGUAGCGAAAUUCCUUGUCGGGUAAGUUCCGACCUGCACGAAUGGCGUAAUGAUGGCCAGGCUGUCUCCACCCGAGACUCAGUGAAAUUGAACUCGCUGUGAAGAUGCAGUGUACCCGCGGCAAGACGGAAAGACCCCGUGAACCUUUACUAUAGCUUGACACUGAACAUUGAGCCUUGAUGUGUAGGAUAGGUGGGAGGCUUUGAAGUGUGGACGCCAGUCUGCAUGGAGCCGACCUUGAAAUACCACCCUUUAAUGUUUGAUGUUCUAACGUUGGCCCGUAAUCCGGGUUGCGGACAGUGUCUGGUGGGUAGUUUGACUGGGGCGGUCUCCUCCUAAAGAGUAACGGAGGAGCACGAAGGUUGGCUAAUCCUGGUCGGACAUCAGGAGGUUAGUGCAAUGGCAUAAGCCAGCUUGACUGCGAGCGUGACGGCGCGAGCAGGUGCGAAAGCAGGUCAUAGUGAUCCGGUGGUUCUGAAUGGAAGGGCCAUCGCUCAACGGAUAAAAGGUACUCCGGGGAUAACAGGCUGAUACCGCCCAAGAGUUCAUAUCGACGGCGGUGUUUGGCACCUCGAUGUCGGCUCAUCACAUCCUGGGGCUGAAGUAGGUCCCAAGGGUAUGGCUGUUCGCCAUUUAAAGUGGUACGCGAGCUGGGUUUAGAACGUCGUGAGACAGUUCGGUCCCUAUCUGCCGUGGGCGAUGGAGAACUGAGGGGGGCUGCUCCUAGUACGAGAGGACCGGAGUGGACGCAUCACUGGUGUUCGGGUUGUCAUGCCAAUGGCACUGCCCGGUAGCUAAAUGCGGAAGAGAUAAGUGCUGAAAGCAUCUAAGCACGAAACUUGCCCCGAGAUGAGUUCUCCCUGAGACUUAGAGUCUCCUGAAGGAACGUUGAAGACGACGACGUUGAUAGGCCGGGUGUGUAAGCGCAGCGAUGCGUUGAGCUAACCGGUACUAAUGAACCGUGAGGCUUAACCUU
rnacentral:rRNA from 1 species